UACGUAGGGUGCAAGCGUUGUCCGGAAUUAUUGGGCGUAAAGAGCUCGUAGGCGGUCUGUCGCGUCGGAUGUGAAAACCCAGGGCUCAACCCUGGGCCUGCAUUCGAUACGGGCAGACUAGAGUUCGGUAGGGGAGACUGGAAUUCCUGGUGCAGCGGUGAAAUGCGCAGAUAUCGGGAGGAACACCGGUGGCGAAGGCGGCGAUCUGGGUCGAUACUGACGCUGAGGAGCGAAAGCAUGGGGAGCGAACAGG
rnacentral:rRNA from 1 species